GAUGAACGCUGGCGGCGUGCCUAAUACAUGCAAGUCGAGCGAACAGACGAGGAGCUUGCUCCUCUGACGUUAGCGGCGGACGGGUGAGUAACACGUGUAACACCUACCUAUCAGACUGGGAUCACUUCGGGAAACCGGAGCUAAUACCGUAUAAUAUAUUGAACCGCAUGGUUCAAUAGUGAAAGACGGUCUUGCUGUCACUUAUAGAUGGAUCCCCGCCGCAUUAGCUAGUUGGUAAGGUAACGGCUUACCAAGGCAACGAUGCGUAGCCGACCGGUGAGGGUGAUCGGCCACACUGGAGCGUGGACACGGUCCAGACUCCUACGGGAGGCAGCAGUAGGGAAUCGUCCGCAAUGGGCGAAAGCCUGACGGAGCAACGCCGCGUGAGUGAUGAAGGUCUUCGGAGCGUAAAGCUCUGUUAUUAGGUAAGAACAAAUGUGUAAGUAACUAUGCACGUCUUGACGGUACCUAAUCAGAAAGCCACGGCUAACUACGUG
rnacentral:rRNA from 1 species